GCUGGCGGCGUGCCUAAUCAUGCAAGUCGUGCGAAUGACGUGGUGCUUGCUCCUCUGAUUUAGCGGCGGACGGGUGUGUAACACGUGGGUAACCUGCCUGUAAGACGGGGAUAACUUCGGGAAACCGAAGCUAAUACCGGAUAAUAAAGAGAGACUCCUGUUUCUUUUUUGAAAGUCGGUUUCGGCUGACGCUUACAGAUGGGCCCGCGGCGCAUUAGCUAGUUGGUGAGGUAACGGCUCACCAAGGCCACGAUGCGUAGCCGACCUGAGAGGGUGAUCGGCCACACUGGGACUGAGACACGGCCCAGACUCCUACGGGAGGCAGCAGUAGGGAAUCUUCGGGCAAUGGACGAAAGUCUGACCGAGCAACGCCGCGUGAGCGAUGAAGGCCUUCGGGUCGUAAAGCUCUGUUGUCAGAGAAGAACAAGUACCGGAGUAACUGCCGGUACCUUGACGGUACCUGACCAGAAAGCCACGGCUAACUACGUGCCAGCAGCCGCGGUAAUACGUAGGUGGCAAGCGUUAUCCGGAAUUAUUGGGCGUAAAGCGCGCGCAGGCGGUUCCUUAAGUCUGAUGUGAAAGCCCACGGCUCAACCGUGGAAGGGUCAUUGGAAACUGGGGAACUUGAGUUGCAGGAAAAAAAAAGUGGAAUUCACGUUGUA
rnacentral:rRNA from 1 species